rnacentral:rRNA from 1 species
AACGUACGCUGGCGGCACGCCUAACACAUGCAAGUCGAACGAAGUAGCAAUACUUAGUGGCAGACGGGUGAGUAACAUGUAGGUAUCUGCCCUUUGGCCUGGAAUAACACGAGGAAACUUGUGCUAAUACCGGAUAAGUCUUUACGGAGAAAGCUUUAUGCACCAUUGGAUGAGCCUGCACUUGAUUAGUUUGUUGGUGGGGUAAUGGCCUACCAAGACUGUGAUCAAUAGCUGAUUUGAGAGGAUGAUUCAGCCACAUUGGGACUGAGACACGGCCCAAACUCCUACGGGAGGCAGCAGUGGGGAAUCUUGCACAAUGGAGGAAACUCUGAUGCAGCGAUGCCGCGUGAGUGAAGAAAGCCCUUGGGUUGUAAAGCUCUUUCGUCGGGGAAGAAAAUGACUGUACCCGAAUAAGAAGGUCCGGCUAACUUCGUGCCAGCAGCCGCGGUAAUACGAAGGGACCUAGCGUAGUUCGGAAUUUACUGGGCUUAAAGAGUUCGUAGGUGGUUGAAAAAGUUAGUGUGAAAUCCCCAGAGCUUAACUCUGGAACUGCCAUUAAAACUUUUCAGCUAGAGUAUGAUAGAGGAAAGCAGAAUUUCUAGUGUAGAGGUGAAAUUCGUAGAUAUUAGAAAGAAUACCAAUUGCGAAGGCAGCUUUCUGGAUCAUUACUGACACUGAGGAACGAAAGCAUGGGUAGCGAAGAGGAUUAGAUACCCUCGUAGUCCAUGCCGUAAACGAUGUGUGUUAGACGUUGGAAAUUUAUUUUCAGUGUCGCAGGGAAACCGAUAAACACACCGCCUGGGGAGUACGACCGCAAGGUUAAAACUCAAAUGAAUUGACGGGGACCCGCACAAGUAGUGGAGCAUGUGGUUUAAUUCGAAGAUACGCGCAGAACCUUACCAACACUUGACAUGUUCGUCGCGACUCUAAGAGAUUAGAGUUUUCGGUUCGGCCGGACGAAACACAGGUGCUGCAUGGCUGUCGUCAGCUCGUGUCGUGAGAUGUUGGGUUAAGUCCCGCAACGAGCGCAACCCUCACUUUUAGUUGCCAUCAUUAAGUUGGGCACUCUGAAAGAACUGCCAGUGAUAAGCUGGAGGAAGGUGGGGAUGACGUCAAGUCCUCAUGGCCCUUACGUGUUGGGCUACACACGUGCUACAAUGGUAUCUACAACAGGAAGCGAGACUGCGAAGUUAAGCAAAUCCCUAAAAGAUACCUCAGUUUCGGAUUGCACUCUGCAACUCGAGUGCAUGAAGCUGGAAUUACUAGUAAUCGUGGAUCAGCGUGCCACGGUGAAAUGCGUUCCCGGGUCU